AUUGAACGCUGGCGGCAUGCUUUACACAUGCAAGUCGAACGGCAGCACGGGCUUCGGCCUGGUGGCGAGUGGCGAACGGGUGAGUAAUGCAUCGGAACGUGCCCAUGUUGUGGGGGAUAACUACGCGAAAGCGUGGCUAAUACCGCAUACGCCCUGAGGGGGAAAGCGGGGGAUUCUUCGGAACCUCGCGCAAUUGGAGCGGCCGAUGUCAGAUUAGCUUGUUGGUGAGGUAAAGGCUCACCAAGGCGACGAUCUGUAGCGGGUCUGAGAGGAUGAUCCGCCACACUGGGACUGAGACACGGCCCAGACUCCUACGGGAGGCAGCAGUGGGGAAUUUUGGACAAUGGGGGCAACCCUGAUCCAGCCAUGCCGCGUGAGUGAAGAAGGCCUCGGUUGUAAGCUCUUCAGCCGGAGAAACGACAACGCUCUAACAUAGCGUGUGGAGUGACGGUACCGGACCGAACGAACGACGACCGGCGUAACCGUAACCGU
rnacentral:rRNA from 1 species